rnacentral:rRNA from 1 species
AUUGAACGCUGGCGGCAUGCCUUACACAUGCAAGUCGAACGGCAGCAUGAUCUCGCUUGCUAGAUUGAUGGCGAGUGGCGCACGGGUGAGUAAUACAUCGGAACGUGCCCUGUCGUGGGGGAUAACUAGUCGAAAGAUUAGCUAAUACCGCAUACGACCUGAGGGUGAAAGUGGGGGACCGCAAGGCCUCAUGCUAUAGGAGCGGCCGAUGUCUGAUUAGCUAGUUGGUGAGGUAAAGGCUCACCAAGGCGACGAUCAGUAGCUGGUCUGAGAGGACGAUCAGCCACACUGGGACUGAGACACGGCCCAGACUCCUACGGGAGGCAGCAGUGGGGAAUUUUGGACAAAGGGCGAAAGCCUGAUCCAGCAAUGCCGCGUGUGUGAAGAAGGCCUUCGGGUUGUAAAGCACUUUUGUCCGGAAAGAAAUGGCUCUGGUUAAUACCUGGGGUCGAUGACGGUACCGGAAGAAUAAGGACCGGCUAACUACGUG